UUGUUGGGUAGGGGAGCGUUCUGUAAGCCGUUGAAGGUGUCCUGUGAGGGGUGCUGGAGGUAUCAGAAGUGCGAAUGCUGACAUAAGUAACGAUAAAGCGGGUGAAAAGCCCGCUCGCCGGAAGACCAAGGGUUCCUGUCCAACGUUAAUCGGGGCAGGGUGAGUCGACCCCUAAGGCGAGGCCGAAAGGCGUAGUCGAUGGGAAACGGGUUAAUAUUCCCGUACUUGGUGUUACUGCGAAGGGGGGACGGAGAAGGCUAUGUUGGCCGGGCGACGGUAGUCCCGGUUUAAGCGUGUAGGUGUGUGUUCCAGGUAAAUCCGGUUCACUUUAACACUGAGGCGUGAUGACGAGGCACCACGGUGCUGAAGCAACAAAUGCCCUGCUUCCAGGAAAAGCCUCUAAGCAUCAGGUAACAUCAAAUCGUACCCCAAACCGACACAGGUGGUCAGGUAGAGAAUACCAAGGCGCUUGAGAGAACUCGGGUGAAGGAACUAGGCAAAAUGGUGCCGUAACUUCGGGAGAAGGCACGCUGACAC
rnacentral:rRNA from 1 species